GACGAACGCUGGCGGCGUGCUUAACACAUGCAAGUCGAACGGUGAAGCGCCUUCCUUUUUGGUGGGUGUGGAUGAGUGGCGAACGGGUGAGUAACACGUGAGUAACCUGCCCCCUCCUUCUGGAUAACCGCAUGAAAGUGUGGCUAAUACGGGAUAUUCUGGGUCUGUCGCAUGAUGGGUCUGGGAAAGAUAUUGUUUCGGUGGGGGAUGGGCUCGCGGCCUAUCAGCUUGUUGGUGGGGGGAUGGCCUACCAAGGCGGUGACGGGUAGCCGGCCUGGGAGGGUGGACGGCCCCACUGCGACUGAGCCACCGCCCAGCCUCCUGCGGGAGGCAGCAGUGGGGAAUAUUGCACAGUGGGAGCAAGCCUGAUGCAGCGACGCCGCGUGAGGGAUGGAGGCCUUCGGGUUGUGAACCUCUUUCGCCAGUGAAGCAGGCCUGCCUCGUUUGUGGGUGGGUUGACGGUAGCUGGAUAAGAAGCGCCGGCUAACUACGUG
rnacentral:rRNA from 1 species